GAUUAUUUUGAUCCGAACCACGUUAAAUCUUGUGUUCUUUCUUUUACGUUUCCGCUAACAGGAAGAAAAAUGGAAAGGAUGCUGAAAAGGGCCAGGAAUAAGAAACCUCCAUAACCGUCAGUGAGGAGAGGCUGAAAGUUGACAUUUAUAAACCGAUUGACUGGGAGAGGAAAAAUGCCCUCAUGGCAUUUAUCAAAAAUAAGGGGCCUCAGACAUAAUAUGCAUGUGGGGUAUUCGAUUAUGAAGGCUUCAAGAAUAUGCAAGAUUUUCAAUUUUGCAUGGAUGUAUUCCAGAGAGCGAGAAGCUGCCCCUUGAAGAGAAGAAGCCCCAUUAUAGCAUGCUGCAAAUUCGGAACUUUUAUUGCAGCGUUGCAUAAAACGACUGGUAUGAGAAUUACGAGGUCUCAAAUGCAAUUUGACAUAUGAAUUAGAUGUUGCUGUAACAUAUUAGGUCAGUAGAUUCUUUAUAGUUGUAUACCCCUGUAAUAAAGUGAGCCCAUCAAUUGAAAGUUCAUUAUUGGGGAGCACCUUGUUUAUCCUU